AAGCAGACGUGGGCAGACCAGGCGUGGGUAAUCCUGACCACAGCACAUCCUUCCUGUUUCUCCUCCCAUCAAGACAAGAAGUAUAUUUCCUGCAAGGGGAUGACUUUGCAGUCCUCUGAGCAACUCCCCCGAAGCCAGGGGAUUUUCUAGGUGACCGGGCUGGCAUGACUCAGAAAUGUGUUUUUCAACUGUAAUGUGCCAUCAGUGCUUCAUGGGCUCUUCAGUUUAAACUGUUUCAGUGAGGACCAUGCAGAUUCAUCACACUUCUGAGCUUAGUAAAAGGCACUGAGGGUUAGACUCCUAGCAGCAAUCUGCCUCCUGUUUGCAGUCAGUUAUCAGGAAGUAAAUGAUCACCACACAUGGAUGUGAAAAAGAAGAAAAUGCCUGGUCAGUGGAAGAGCCUAGAACCUCACUAGCACAACGUUGCUGCACACUAGAAAUGCUGCCAGACAACCUUUACUAACAACCUGAGGUUUUAUUUCAGUGACACCAUCUAAUGAUACAGCUACCAAAAAGUGGGCUCCAGGAGACCUCCUGUCAGCAUUCCAGCACCCAAAAGGGGCCUGGAGGAAAGUUGCCUUACUUGAAAUCAAAUUGAUCCCAGUUGAACUGGCUAAAGCACAGACUCUGAAGAAUGGUGCAUGAUGGCUCAUGCUGACAAGGGAUGUGGCAUUAUGGUGCCAUAUUUCCUUUUCAUUCUGCCACACAAACUCCAUAACUGAUCAAAGGCUGAAAUGGAAUCCCAGCUGAAAGUGGUUACAAGAAACUGAAGAUAAUAAAACAAAUAAAAAUAGUGGCUCCCAUAAAAGAUGAACAAUUGGGAAAUAUCUUUGCAAGUCCUGUUUUAAGUUCAUCUAGUAGGUCUACUGCACAACCUCUGAGGAGCCAGAGUCGUAAGUCUCUAAAAGCACUCAAGGGCGGUUUCUACUUAAAGCUUUUUAGAAACUUUUGUAAGUAAACAAAUGGCUUCAUGACAUGUAUUAAAUGCAAACUGAACAAGAUGAAGGUCCUGGAGCAAAACAAAGUACACAAUAAAAUAACUACUGCAGGUUAUAAAUCACAGUUUAUAAGUCACAGACUUUAAAUCACAAUUGUCCUUCAAAAUCACCCACUUUUGCAUUUCAUUUCUGAGGCUGAGAGCCUAAUUCAUGUUCAAAUUAUCACCUGGCACUUGUAAUAAAUUCUUAAGAUGAAUGAAAAAAGAAAUACAAUUUUAUUCUAUAAAUUAUAUUGGAAAGCGCUCUGAAGCAUGUGAAAUAUGCCUCCUCAGAUGAAUAGAAAUAAAACAUGUUCGUGUUCCUUGACAGCCUACUUCUCCAUCUUUGAACAAAAAUGUUCAAAGAAAAAAUAGACUAUAGGGAGAAAGAGAUGAUUUGGACUUUUAAAAAAUUGAAUCUGAAGCACAUUUGAAAAAUUGUUGGGAGCCUCAUGUCUGGAAUCUUUAAGGAAUAUUAAGGCUAACAGGCUAACUAUCUUCCCCUGAGAUGCAGCUUGACUAAAUAACGCCCAGCCUUUGAAAACCGUACUCCAAUUUGGUGCUUGGAGGAAAGUGCCUUAAUGAGUCUUUGGUAUCUGCUUCUAUUGUUCAACAUAACAUCUUGAGCUGGGUAAAAGAUGGAUGUAAUUUGUGAAGACCGAAACCUAAGGCAGCAGGUCUUGCCCUAAUAUGCACUGCUUCAAAGGCUCCCUGGGAAGCCUUGAAGAUCAAGGAAAAGGGGAAGAUCAAGGAGAUGGGAAUGAACUAUCUCAGUCUGACCUCCUCUUUGGUCAAGCCAUCUGGGGAGGUGGCAUAUGGGGACUUCUAAGCCAUUCUGCUGCCAGAUCCAGUAAGCCCAUGAACUCCCAAGUUUGGGUAGUAUUGCUACUGCCUCUGUCAAGCUCAGCAGCUUCACCCUCAUGGGGAAAAAAGGAUGUGUGAGGUCAUAAGCUACUGCCAGUGGGGAAAUUCACCCUUUUUCUCUCACUGAAAAGAGAAGGGUACUUGAAAGGUGCAUCUUUUUUCCUCUUUUUUUUAACCAUUUUGACUGGAAGGAAACAUUUGGAUAAGAACUGAUAGAUGUCCCUAUGCUAUAUCCUUGCUGAUGCCGGGAUUGAAGACUUAUCAAAAUACACAUUUCAUUUCUCAGGGUUCUCCUGAGGAUGUAUAUCUCAGUGGGUUUGGACUGCCUAGCUGGGUAUCUUCCUAAAGGGACCUCAGCAGCAGAGCCUCACCACUGCUGGUGGCAGAGGAAGAAGCUGUAAUGCUACUGAAUCACUUAGUAAAGUUUUAGAAAGGUGAUGAGUUGGAACACAUUUCACAGGCUCAACAAAUAAAAUCUCCGUUGGGUUUGAUUCAAUGAUGAGAGGGUCACCUUGAGAGAUGACAAGCCUAACAUAUUUAUGAAGUUACCUGGGAUUACAAAAUAUUAUUACCCCUGGGUGAAAACAAACAUGGAAGUCCAAAAGGCAGCUUUGCUUAAGCCCCAAUAUAGUCUCACCUCCAAGAGUACGCUGUUCAAGAUUACCUUAAAUGUCCUUAGAGGAGGCUGUUCUUUGUAUCUGAAUUGCUUCACAAUUGGGCCCAGAAAUGAAGCGUACUUCAGAUGAAACAUGGAAACUUAUCAGCAAGUUCUACCAAGCCUGCAACAUCCACCUCCUGAAUUUAGACCAAACGUAAUGGAAAUUCUUAUUGUUUAUGAAAACAAUUAUUGCUACAACUUCAAAGCUACUCAGUCAGCUUUCUGCGUGCUUAACCUGCUUUUCACAUUUCAGUAGUGUACUCAAAAUAUAUUGCAAGUGUAUCCCACUAUUACAAUAAACAUUUGGUGUUCUUGUUGGCAUCUGAAGAACAAUUAGGCGUUUGCUUGUUUUCUUUUUAAAGCAUGAAAUGCAUACUUUUUCCUAAUAGUCAAAAUUGAAUGGAAUGGAUGAUUUUGAUGAGAGGUGAGGGGGAAUGUGGGUUCUAUUUGCUUUAGGCAGGAGACAACAGCAGUAAAUUGUCCAUUGAAGAAGGACACAGAAGAAUUGCUGCUUCUGAUACCCAAACCAAGUUACUGAAAGCUGGUGUGCACAUCUCUGUCCCUUUCUGGAACUGAUAACCCCUUCUGGCAUCUGUCAAAUGGGCAAGAGAAUGAGCCUGAAAAUUCCCAGUUUGGAUUUCCCUUGCACAAAGAGUUUAUGUCAUUUACAUGACUAUAUUCAUGUGUUCUAUUAUGAGAAGGAGAUGUAGCAUGGGCUGGGGUCCUGCUGUGAUAUGGGCCAGGUAAGCAGAAAAGAAAGGAAUCUUAGCUGCUGCGGCAUAACAGGGCAGUGUGCAACUCAGCACUGCCAGAACCUCACCUCAGCUCUUUUGUUCUUUCCAGAAGAACCAUUUGACCUUAGGAAGAAGGGUUUAAUUAUCCUGGGCUUUUUUGCCAGCUGGGGAGGCUCUUUGUCAAAAGAAAACUGGGAGGGGAAGGAGGACAACCAGCUUCCCUGAACUACAGGGGAAAGAUGCUGCCAGACCAUGCUGCUUGUGUUUGUACUUCUGUUCUAAGCUCUGCUUUGAAAUAAAACAUAUCAUUACACUACUAGAAACUACUGUGUUGUAUAAGCCAGCUCUGUGAUACAGUCUACAGUCUCACAGAAGCAGUCUCUGGACACUGGAAAACAAAGGCAAAAGAAGAUCUGCUGUUGGCACAGCAGCUACUAGUGCUGGCAGGAGCAAGUAUCUGCACAAAAGCAAAA